rnacentral:rRNA from 1 species
AUUGAACGCUGGCGGCGUGCCUAACACAUGCAAGUCGAGCGGUAACAGGUGUAGCAAUACAUGCUGACGAGCGGCGAACGAGUGAGUAAUGCUUUGGAAUCUUCCCAGUAGUGGGGAAUAACCAGUCGAAAGAUUGGCUAAUACCGCAUACGUCUGUAAAGGGAAAGCGGGGGACUCGCCCUCUUCGUAGAGAGGCGUCGCGCUAUU